rnacentral:rRNA from 1 species
GGGAUAACUACUGGAAACGGUAGCUAAUACCGCACAACGUCGCAAGACCAAAGAGGGGGACCUUCGGGCCUCUUGCCAUCGGAUGUGCCCAGAUGGGAUUAGCUAGUAGGUGGGGUAACGGCUCACCUAGGCGACGAUCCCUAGCUGGUCUGAGAGGAUGACCAGCCACACUGGAACUGAGACACGGUCCAGACUCCUACGGGAGGCAGCAGUGGGGAAUAUUGCACAAUGGGCGCAAGCCUGAUGCAGCCAUGCCGCGUGUAUGAAGAAGGCCUUCGGGUUGUAAAGUACUUUCAGCGGGGAGGAAGGGAGUAAAGUUAAUACCUUUGCUCAUUGACGUUACCCGCAGAAGAAGCACCGGCUAACUCCGUGCCAGCAGCCGCGGUAAUACGGAGGGUGGAAGCGUUAAUCGGAAUUACUGGGCGUAAAGCGCACGCAGGCGGUUUGUUAAGUCAGAUGUGAAAUCCCCGGGCUCAACCUGGGAACUGCAUCUGAUACUGGCAAGCUUGAGUCUCGUAGAGGGGGGUAGAAUUCCAGGUGUAGCGGUGAAAUGCGUAGAGAUCUGGAGGAAUACCGGUGGCGAAGGCGGCCCCCUGGACGAAGACUGACGCUCAGGUGCGAAAGCGUGGGGAGCAAACAGGAUUAGAUACCCUGGUAGUCCACGCCGUAAACGAUGUCGACUUGGAGGUUGUGCCCUUGAGGCGUGGCUUCCGGAGCU